GACCUCGGAUCAGGUAGGGAUACCCGCUGAACUUAAGCAUAUCAAUAAGCGGAGGAAAAGAAACCAACAGGGAUUGCCCCAGUAACGGCGAGUGAAGCGGCAAAAGCUCAAAUUUGAAAUCUGGCCCCCUAGGGGUCCGAGUUGUAAUUUGUAGAGGAUGCUUCGGGUGCGGCCACGGCUUAAGUGCCUUGGAACAGGACGUCAUAGAGGGUGAGAAUCCCGUCUUGGGUCGUCGGCCCGCGCCCGUGUGAAGCUCCUUCGACGAGUCGAGUUGUUUGGGAAAUCAA
rnacentral:rRNA from 1 species